rnacentral:rRNA from 1 species
CCUACGGGUGGCAGCAGUGAGGAAUAUUGGUCAAUGGACGAGAGUCUGAACCAGCCAAGUAGCGUGAAGGAUGACUGCCCUAUGGGUUGUAAACUUCUUUUAUAUGGGAAUAAAAUGUUCCACGUGUGGGAUUUUGUAUGUACCAUAUGAAUAAGGAUCGGCUAACUCCUUGCCAGCAGCCGCGGUAAUACGGAGGAUCCGAGCGUUAUCCGGAUUUAUUGGGUUUAAAGGGAGCGUAGGUGGAUUGUUAAGUCAGUUGUGAAAGUUUGCGGCUCAACCGUAAAAUUGCAGUUGAAACUGGCAGUCUUGAGUACAGUAGAGGUGGGCGGAAUUCGUGGUGUAGCGGUGAAAUGCUUAGAUAUCACGAAGAACUCCGAUUGCGAAGGCAGUUCACUGGACUGCAACUGACACUGAGGCUCGAAAGUGUGGGUAUCAAACAGGAUUAGAUACCCUAGUAGUC